rnacentral:rRNA from 1 species
GACGAACGCUGGCGGCGUGCCUAAUACAUGCAAGUAGAACGCUGAAGGAGGAGCUUGCUCUUCUGGAUGAGUUGCGAACGGGUGAGUAAAGCGUAGGUAACCUGCCUGGUAGCGGGGGAUAACUAUCGGAAACGAUAGCUAAUACCGCAUAACAGUAGAUGUUGCAUGACAUUUACUUAAAAGGUGCAAUUGCAUCACUACCAGAUGGACCUGCGUUGUAUUAGCUAGUUGGUGGGGUAACGGCUCACCAAGGCGACGAUACAUAGCCGACCUGAGAGGGUGAUCGGCCACACUGGGACUGAGACACGGCCCAGACUCCUACGGGAGGCAGCAGUAGGGAAUCUUCGGCAAUGGACGGAAGUCUGACCGAGCAACGCCGCGUGAGUGAAGAAGGUUUUCGGAUCGUAAAGCUCUGUUGUAAGAGAAGAACGAGUGUGAGAGUGGAAAGUUCACACUGUGACGGUAUCUUACCAGAAAGGGACGGCUAACUACGUG